rnacentral:rRNA from 1 species
GACGAACGCUGGCGGCGUGCCUAAUACAUGCAAGUCGAGCGAGACUCUUCGGAGUCUAGCGGCGGACGGGUGAGUAACACGUGGGCAACCUGCCUGUAAGACUGGGAUAACACCGGGAAACCGGUGCUAAUACCGGAUAAUCCUUUUCCUCUCAUGAGGAAAAGCUGAAAGUCGGUUUCGGCUGACACUUACAGAUGGGCCCGCGGCGCAUUAGCUAAUUGGUGAGGUAACGGCUCACCAAGGCGACGAUGCGUAGCCGACCUGAGAGGGUGAGCGGCCUCACUGGGACUGAGACACGGCCCAGACUCCUACGGGAGGCAGCAGUAGGGAAUCUUCCACAAUGGACGAAAGUCUGAUGGAGCAACGCCGCGUGAGCGAUGAAGGCCUUCGGGUCGUAAAGCUCUGUUGUUAGGGAAGAACAAGUACCGGAGUAACUGCCGGUGCCUUGACGGUACCUAACCAGAAAGCCACGGCUAACUACGUGCCAGCAGCCGCCGUAAGAC